rnacentral:rRNA from 1 species
UUUGCCGGCCAUAGGGCGCGGGACCCACCCGAUCCCAUUCCGAACUCGGAAGUUAAACCGCGCUCCGUUCCCGGCAGUAGUGUGGUCUUCGGCCACGCGAACCCGGGAAAGCCGGCAGCC